CAGCACUCAUCUUAGAGAAGCAGGUACCGCAUAACCAACCUGGCAUUUACUGCCUUUGCACCACACAGCCCUGUGAGCACUGGCCUAACAAUAUCUACAGUAGAGAGGUAAAAGCAUGGUGUAAGUAGGAAGUGUCUAUCGUGACUUCAUCACACAGAAACUGAAAUCUUCGCAAGCAGCAACAGAAUUUUGCAUGCCCAACCAACUAUAAGAUGGCUGACACUCAUAGAGAAGGAGAGGAACAAGGGGAAGAACAAGAUCUAGAGGCUCCAGAAGAAGAGAUGGACGAACAUAAUGCUUUGCUACACUUAAGCAAAUACCGUGAAGCUCAGUUUGCAAAACCGUGGGAGCAGUGGACCUUCAGAGAUAAAGCAAACUAUUACAUGGACCGCAUCUUCCUUGGGCUUUUGGUCACUUUUUUGGUCAUUUUUAUUGGAGAAUGUGGCUAUAAAAUCUGGUACUUGACAAACGUGAAUGCGAUUGUGGAGUUUGUUUCAGAUUUGGUGGUCUUUUUGUUCGAUUGGCUCUUCACGCAGGACAGACAGGAGCAGGUGGCUGAACUAUAGGCUGCAAUGAAAGGAUUACUUGAUUUUGUCUUUUUUUGUGUGUAUUUUCUGCAAUGUUUAAAACACAAAAGAUCACUAGAGAAUUUGUCUGCAUCUUAGUAAGGAAUUUUUGUAAUAUUACCAGUACCUGAGCACUAUUUCUGAUCAUUUUUGAUGGAAGUAAACAUAUUGAAUGAGCUGUCUCACUGUCAUGCACUUCAAUGAUUUGUACCAUGUGGUUUUUCCCCCAAACCAACUAUGUAAUUAAAAAAAUUAUUAAUUUCAGCUAUGAUUUAUGAAUGACAACUGCUAUAACUAUGUUAGUUUCUGUUACGGGCUAAUUAAUAUGUUAAUAUAUUUUAAAGUUGGAACAUUGAAACAUGCAGUGCAAAUGCUUUGAAGAGUGCUGUAAAGCUGAUUUAAAGGACUAAUUUGUGCCAA